UGCUUUUGCACAUGCCAAUGCUCUAAAAUAACAAAUAUUCUGAUAAAAUCAAACAAAACAUACGUUCUCCCGGCAGCGCAUGCAGAGGCUCUCGACUUCGUAGAGGGGGGCGUCGAAAUCAUCGGCCGAAAUUGCCUCCACCACAGAACCCACGUCCACGAUUUGGGGCUUGCUCUGCGCUAUUGGAUUGGUCUCCAUUGACAGUUUAACUUCGAAAAUACAAUUACUUAGGUUUGCUCUCGAAUAACUGCUUCCUCAAAUCUUUUACACUGUAUCUGGCUUCGCUCUUUGGGUCGACAGAGAGAGAGACGGGGGGAGGAGGAAGGGGAAGGAGGCGGAGAGUUGAAGAACCAACGGGUAUUUUUGAAAGGAGUAAGAAUCUAGAAAGUGUGAGAAGGUCGUUG
rnacentral:lncRNA from 1 species